GAAAUCAAGUUUCUGUUUGUCCUGGAAAAAUUGACGAUGACUAGAAAAGUGGGAAAUUAUGACAUGACAAGAGUGAAGAGAAUGAAAGACAUAUCCUUUGUGAUGACUAAUGGUCACCUCACUGAUGCUUCUGGCUGGCAGCACUUACCUAGACAUUGAUUCUGGAUGAGGUCCAGGUCUCUUCUACUGACAGCCACUUCGACGCUGACUGAGCUGUCUGACACCUUAGGCUUCUGUUCUGGAACUUCAGCCACUGGUGUUCACUGAUGUCCUAGAGAUACUGGAGAAGUGUGUGCUGCAACAUGCGAAUUAGAUCCAUACCCCUCUUGACUGGUGAAGGCCAAUUGGCAAGUGUUGGUGCCUUCUUUGGAGUUGCCUAUCAACACAUCCCUCAUGGAGAACAGGCUGACAACUUCUCUUUAAACAGCAAUUGUUAGACCUUUACUAAAGAAACCAGUUUUCAUGCUGACAGUUUCUCAUUGUCUCACUGGCUCAAUUUUUCCUUUUUCUGGGAAUAUUAUCUAGAAGAUUGCAAUCAGACAACAGCAUGUUGGGUCUUCAGGUCUUUUUGAACUCCAAUCAGUUUGAUUUAAAGCCUUAUAGCAGAGAGUGUGCUAAUUGUAUUGGUUGAUGAUCUGCCCUUGGCAAUGGACAAAGUUCACCAUGCUGAUUCUCUUGGAUCUGUUAGCUGCCUUUGUUGUUGAUAGCCUGCUGUCUCUAUAGCAGGGUAGAUGAAUCAUUCUUACAUGGACCACUUGAUGCUUUGUCAGAUGUAAUUCGGGGCAUUUAUUCCACUGUCCCAAGAUCACUCCUAUGGUGGAUUCCACAAGGUUCAAUUCUGGGACCACUCCUGUUCAAUCUGUCUGUGGGGCAGUAUAUAAACUGUAGUGUCUUUAAUACAUGGGUGACACUCUGUUCUAUGUUUCCAUCUCAUCUGACUUUUCCUGUGCAGCUGAGCAACUUAGUGUCUGAUACAAAUUGGGAUCUGCAUGGGGGAUACUUGUCUCAGGCUAAAUCCAGAUUACAAUGAAAUAAUGUUUGAUAAAGUGGGGAAGUAACAAAGAAAUGAGAAAAAAAUAUAUUGGUGUGUGAUGUGGUGAAAGGGCUGAAAGGGGUUAAGGUGGCCAGGUAGCCCAAUUAUCUCCACAAGCUGCACCUGGAGGAAGAGCCAGGGAUCAUGGAACUAACUGGAAGCAGGUUUAGCUGUGCAGAAACAGGUGGGGCCUAUAUAAAGCCAGGUAGCUGGGAUUAUAUGGGGGCCUCUGGGAAAGGCUACAGGAAAGAAUCACUAUGUGGGAAGAGGGAGGAAGGUUUUGGAGCUGGUACACUCAGAAGGAGAAGGGGAGUCAGGUGUGCUAGGAACCAGUCCAGGGAAGGUGCAGUGAAGGCUGAUAGAGGAAGGCCCAGAACUGCUGAGCUGAGGGUCCCUGGACUGGAACCCACAGUAGAGGGUGGGCCUGUGUUCCCCUACCAGCCACUGAGGGAGUGGCAGUAUGGGACAAUGGAAGGCUGGGUCAUGAAGAGGACUCUGUGGUUCCUGGGAUGAGAGAGGAGCUGCAGGCCUGUGAGAAAGACAGAACAAUGGCAUGCAAACUGUGGAAGGGCGUGUUGACCUCAAGAGCUAAUCCCAGAGUUACCUGGAGGAGUUGCUAGACCAGCUGAGAGUGGUGUACCCUGUCACAUGGGGCCACCAAUAUAGUGGUGCCAAAUGACUCCAUUUCUUACUCGGGUUUACUUUCCAUUUCUUACUCAGGGAGUUGUUCCAGCUGCUCCUGGGUGGGCAGGUGUAAGUGGUUGUCAAUAGUUUUAAUGUUUGCUUGGUAAGAAGGUUCUGACUUUUUUCUUUCAGAUGUUAUGCAAGCCUAUUUCACUUCCAGAUAGUAGUCCUUGUAGUAGUUCAACAUGGUGCCACACCUUAAAAAAAACAAUUCAGAAAUUACAGCUAGUGCAGAAUGAGCUACAGAUUUAAGUAGUGUUUACUAUGGAGUUCCUGCUGCACACAUGAACUGUGAUCUGCAUUGACUUCUAAAUGACUUCUAGGUGAAAUUUAAAGUGUUUGAUUCUUAAAAUUCCUACCUGGUUUGGGUCUUGGCUACCUCAGUGCCAUAUCACAUCUGUUCUGAUCAGUCUGGGUUUAAAAAGGAGGAGAAUGAUGGAAUGUGCUUCCACAUUCUUUGGUUUACCAGAGUCCUUAUUUAGUGACCUCCAGAUCACUCUUCAAAGCUUAAACAUUCUCUCAGGCUACCUGGAUGUGAGGAUGGGUUGAGCAUAUAGGAUUUUGUGGUGUAACAGUGAGUUGGAAGGGGUUUUAGUUUUGGAGAUUGGAACAAUUUGUCUGUUCUCUUCUAAAAAAGACUAUUUUGUUUUUGUACGGUAAAUUCAGCCUGAGGUUUGGCUAAGGGCAUUUGCAAUAAAUGCAGUGUUUCUUAAAGUCAUAGUUUCACCUCAAAAGGUGUCAGAUUGAUGGCAUUGGAGAUUAAAGUAAUCUGUUACUUCACAGACUAGCUACUGGACAGGCAGCAAGCUUCUCUACACUGCCUUACCAAUAUCCUGUAAGACUGAUCUUGAAAGGCCCCAUCUCUGUAAAUGAGAGAAUUCAAUCUCUGCUCCUGCUCAGUCUUUGGCCUUUCUGCUGACAACACCAACAGCCAAACACCAAUUAUGAUGAUGAUUGUUUGGGGAAAAAUACUUCUCCAGUAGGCAUUGGACUAAGUUCAACUUCAUUUCACACAGCAGUAUUGAACAGACAUGAGAUUGUUGGCCCCUGACCAUUAAAUAGUACAAAUGGUACCUAGAAUUGUUAUACCUUCUAUAUCCUGUCCUCCCUGCCCCACCCCCCAAUCCAAACAAUUAAACCUAUGCAGCGUGAUUCUGAGACUCCCUAAAUUCCUUGUAUCUUUAGUCAUAAGGUUAAUAAUACAAGUUUGUGUUGUGUAGAAAUAUGGCACUAUUAAGCAGCAUAUUGCAUUAGAGAACCUCACUGUACAAUGAGUUAAAAAUUUCAAGGUAAAUGUUUUACAAAAAAUACAUCAGAGGUCGGCAACCUUUGGCACGUGGCCUGCCAGGGUAA